CAUCCCGACUUACCAACCCGAUGCAAACUGCGAAUACCGGAGAAUGUUAUCACGGGAGACACACGGCGGGUGCUAACGUCCGUCGUGAAGAGGGAAACAACCCAGACCGCCAGCUAAGGUCCCAAAGUCAUGGUUAAGUGGGAAACGAUGUGGGAAGGCCCAGACAGCCAGGAUGUUGGCUUAGAAGCAGCCAUCAUUUAAAGAAAGCGUAAUAGCUCACUGGUCGAGUCGGCCUGCGCGGAAGAUGUAACGGGGCUAAACCAUGCACCGAAGCUGCGGCAGCGACACUAUGUGUUGUUGGGUAGGGGAGCGUUCUGUAAGCCUGCGAAGGUGUCUCGUGAGGGAUGCUGGAGGUAUCAGAAGUGCGAAUGCUGACAUAAGUAACGAUAAUGCGGGUGAAAAACCCGCACGCCGGAAGACCAAGGGUUCCUGUCCAACGUUAAUCGGGGCAGGGUGAGUCGACCCCUAAGGCGAGGCCGAAAGGCGUAGUCGAUGGGAAACAGGUUAAUAUUCCUGUACUUGGUGUUACUGCGAAGGGGGGACGGAGAAGGCUAUGUUAGCCGGGCGACGGUUGUCCCGGUUUAAGCAUGUAGGCGGAGGUUCCAGGUAAAUCCGGUACCUUAUUAACGCUGAGGUGUGAUGACGAGGCACUACGGUGCUGAAG
rnacentral:rRNA from 1 species